AUUGUAGUCAUAUGCUUGUCUCAAAGAUUAAGCCAUGCAUGUCUAAGUAUAAGCAAUAUAUACCGUGAAACUGCGAAUGGCUCAUUAAAUCAGUUAUCGUUUAUUUGAUAGUACCUUACUACUUGGAUAACCGUGGUAAUUCUAGAGCUAAUACAUGCUAAAAACCCCGACUUCGGAAGGGGUGUAUUUAUUAGAUAAAAAACCAAUGCCCUUCGGGGCUUCUUGGUGAUUCAUAAUAACUUAACGAAUCGCAUGGCCUUGUGCCGGCGAUGGUUCAUUCAAAUUUCUGCCCUAUCAACUUUCGAUGUUAAUGUAUUGGAUUAACAUGGUUUCAACGGGUAACGGGGAAUUAGGGUUCUAUUCCGGAGAGGGAGCCUGAGGAACGGCUACCACAUCCAAGGAAGGCAGCAGGCGCGCAAAUUACCCAAUCCCGACACGGGGAGGUAGUGACAAUAAAUACUGAUACAGGGCUCUUUUGGGUCUUGUAAUUGGAAUGAGUACAAUUUAAAUCCCUUAACGAGGAACAAUUGGAGGGCAAGUCUGGUGCCAGCAGCCAAUC
rnacentral:rRNA from 1 species